AGUUCGGAGAGUUUGAUCUUGGCUCAGGACGAACGCUGACGGUGUGCUUUAGACAUGCAAGUCGAACGAGAAAGCCCUUCGGGGUGAGUAAAGUGGCGAACGGGUGCGUAACACGUGGGUAAUCUACCCCUCGCAGGGGGAUAACCGGGGGAAACCCCGGCUAAUACCCCGUACGCUCCGAGGGCCGCAUGGUCCUCGGAGGAAAGGUAGCUUCGGCCAUCCGGCGAGGGAUGAGCCCGCGGU
rnacentral:rRNA from 1 species